UUUAUCGCAGCGUACAUGCUAUUGCCCCCUGCAACAAGUCCGCGUUUCAAAAUUUUUUGCUGCAAUAACGUUAUUUCGUCAAUAGCUUUUUCACUUAACAAAAUAUCUCAAAAUUUUAUUUUCCAGCGCUCUCUCAACUCCUUCUCUCCAAGCAUCUGGCCUUCGAACUCAGCCGUCGAACUCAGCCGCCGUCGAACUCAGCAGUCGUCGAACUCAGGCGUUGCUCGGCCCUGCGUCGCUGUCUUCGCCGGUGGGUCUGUGUUCUCGCCUCAUCUCCCCCAUCGCGUUCUGUUCUCGCCGUCACAGUCCCAAGUAUUUCGAUCUCUUACUCUCUCUUGCGCGAAUCUGUUUGAGGAGGGUUUGAUUACAUAAAUUUAAGGCUCAUUUUUCUUGAUACAUUCUCCUAAACUAUAGCCGGAACAGCUAGAUGGACAGCCUCGACUUCGACAACAGCCGUUAGAAUUGACACUCAUUCAGAGGCUUGGACUCGUAGUGGGUAUUUUCAGCAGAGCGAGGAGUCUUCUCUGUUUCAGCAGGAGUAUGAAAUGCGGAAAAUUAAGCAGGUCUAUACUACAGGAAUGCGCCUUAUGGUAGUGAGGAAAUUGAUGUGGUUCGUGAGCAAUGGGCUAAGUUUUUUACCAGAAAGUAUUUAUUAUUGGCCUGAGCGCGUUUGAUCGAGUUGGCUUAGAUGUUAUAGAACAAUAUUUUGUAUUAAAAUGUAUGCGUACGUUGAAAUUGGAACGUACAUAUAUUUAAAUGUAUUAGUACGUGCACUUUGGUUUUGGAAUAUAUACAAAACUACAGUUAUUGUUUAUAUAUUUGUUAUACAGGU